AUGGACGGGUUCGUCAUCCAUCCAGGGAUGGGUGGAGGAGGAAGAGCAGGGGUGGGUGAUGUUGAAAAGCUCCAUGACCCACUUGCUGGAAUGUGGCGCACGCGGAACACGGUCCGGAACCUGGUGAGUGGUACGUACAUCCCUGGCCAUCACCGUAGCAUCCGUGCAAGACCCCGACCAGAAGAGUUAGGGCUGAGAAAAGCUGGGACUUGUUUUUGGAGAGCGGUAGGAGGGCAGGAAAAGGGACGUGCUGCUUUCCACGCACCGCCGUUGUCUAACAACGCUCCCCUGUCGUGGGCAGCCAAUGGGACUGAAACACUAAUGGCAUUCUUCCAUGUGCCAAACAAUAACCCAUACAACCAGCGCCCGGCAUUGGGGUGCAUUGAGCCAAAGACCGUUCUGCGAUCACCAAAACAAGACCCACGGGCAUCCUCUGCUCUCCUCUUCUUCCUCCUUUUUCUUCCUAACCAGCUCUGUCUCCUUCUCCAAACAGCCUUAAGCAGGACAAAUCACUGGGCAAAGAGAUCAGGAGGAAAGGCAUCAGCAGUCCAGCCGGCUUCGUCCUCCUCUCCGUGCUAUGAUCUUCCGCCUCAGGCGCUUGACGCCAGGGUACUUCCGCCUGCUACAGAUGCAGUUGGCCAGUGGGCCUGAAUCGGAACCUCAGGACCGGCUGAUGAAUCAGUUGGCGCUGCUCUUGGCCAUCAUGGGACUGAGCCUGUCCUGCUACAGCGCACGGCAAAUGAGCGAGGACCCCAAGCCUCACCCGGAACCCUGACCCUCCGAAGCUGGGCAGGAGGGACCCAGAAUAAAAGGAGGAGAUAGAAGCAAAGGGAAGUUGGAGAUGUGGAUGUCUCCCUUGCGGUACCAGCCAUCCUUUUUAGGUCCACGUAGCAUGCCUUGCCUGGGAUGUGCGUCUUAGAAGCAUCGUCAUCACCAGUCCUUUCUAGUGCAAUCCUGGUGCCGUUUCCGACCGUAUUGAACUCUUCUCAUUAGAAAAGGAGGAUAUACCAAGUAUUUUCCCAAUAUGCUUUGUCGUAACUUAAGAUGGUUAUUGGACCUUGGAGUCUCCUCCGCCUGCCCUGGUUGAACCGUCACCGGAAGUCAUGCGCAGGUCUGGAUGGAAUAUGGAAGAAGGGAAUGUAGAACUCGUUCCAUGGUUGCCUUAGUGUCCAAAGCUAAGUGUUGCCUUAGCUUCCAAAUAGCCCUUUAUUUUGUCUAGAUUGAAAAAAAAUACUUUUAGGGACUAUGUAAUCUCUUUGGUGAUGUUGGAUGGGGGAUGUUGGGAGUCACAGACCCAACUAAUAAUAAUAAUAAUAAUAAUAAUAAUCUAUAUAUAUAAAAGAGUGAUGGCAUCACGGCGACCGACAAAACAACAAAACUACAGGCCCCCCAACCUCGAAAGUUGACAACACAACCCAUCAUCCACGCCUCUAGGUUGAUACAACAAAAAGAAAAGAAAAAUAAAGUCCUAAUGAGAGGGAAAGGAAUAAUUGCUUUUAUCCAAUUGCUGCCAGUUAGAAGGCUAAGCUCCUCCAACUUGGUCUCCUAGCAACCCAAUAAAAAAUAAUAAAAAACACUAAAAAAUAAUUAAAAACACUAAAAGAUUAAUACAAUAAAAUACUAUAAUAAGAGAAAAUAACUAAAAAUAAUACAAGAAAAUAAUAAAAUAUAAUAAAUAAAAAGAUAACUUACAAUAAAAUUAAUUAAAAAAUACAAAUAACGUCAAAUAAAAAUUACACAACAAUUUUUAACCAAUACCACCACCACUUUGCCACAGCAACGUGUGGCCGGGCACAGCUAGUAAUAAUAAUAAUAAUAAUAAUAAUAAUAAUAAUAAUAAUAAUAAUAAUAAUCUUUAUUUAUACCCCGCCACCAUCUCCCCAAUGGGGACUCGGGGCGGCUUACAUGGGUUCAUGCCCAGAACAAUACAAUAUCACAGAAUAUAAAUAGAACAACAAAUCAUAACACAUUAAACAAUACAAUAAAAGAUAAUAUACACUACAUUAAGCAAAAUCAAAAGAACAAUAAAACCAAGGGCGGGCCACAUGAACACAAGGUUAAAACUCGGGGUGAGAAAGGAAAUAGGAAUAAAAACCACAGAGAACAGGGUCAUAAAGUAGUGGUGCAAACUGGAGGACAGAUAUUGGAGGAGAGUAACAAAAGGGAUAUAUGCAGUAAUUAAAUGGUGAUGUUUGGCCCCAUUGGGGAUAUUAAGAUCCUCCUUCCAUUGGGAAAAUUGUAGCUUUCCAUUACAGAGGGUCAAAAAACAUGCCUCCAAGGUAUACGUGAGAUGGUAUUUCUUGCAGAUUCUACCCGCUUUUGAUACUAUGCAGCCCUUAGGAAGUUGUCUAAUGCUGAGACUAAGGGUUGGGUCAAUACAUCUUUCUGCUUGAGUCCAAUGUCAGUUCCAUACUGAGUGUGGAAGGCUUGUUGUGGGGUGAUCGGUUGCCGCCUGACCCGAUUGUCUCAAUUCUAUCCAACGGUAAGAAUGGUCCUUUGAUAAUGUGGUCGAUAUCCAAACCAGUAUUUUUAAAAUAUUAUUUCGAAUUCUCAACUCGAGAGUUCUAGUGCCUCACCAAACUACAAAUCCCAACAUUCCACAGGAUUGAACGGCUGAUUGAGAAUGCCAUAGUAUUGCUAAAAGGGUCUGGGAUGCUCAAAUGAGUGACAGAUGGUGGGCUGCACCCUUUCUCGACUGGUUUUCAGAGGGCAAUGUUUGAAUGUUGUUAGAAUAAAGUUCUCAUCUGCCCUGAUCAGCAUAGGAUGAUGGGAAAUGCGAUUCAGCAACAUCUGGAAGGCUAUAAGGUGCCUUUUGGCUUCCAGUGGGCAAACCAAUGCAGAGAGAGAAAGCCAAGAUACAUACAUUCAUACAUACAUACAUGAUACAGACAUACAGCCUGAUUCCCAGGUUAGAGUUUGCAAAUGUGGGCACAAGGAAGACCUCCACUUUGCAUCUUUUUCCACAAAAAGGCAAUUCCCCGGAGCCAUGCCAGGAGUGCUUCCCCAAUUGUCUCCGAUUCAAUAGACAGGGAGAAAGAGAAGGAAGUGCAAUUGAAAGGGUUUGCUGCAAAUGAUUUUAUUUGUAACGCGCCCCGCCUCCCACUUGACGUGGAGUUGCAGAACACCACAGACUGGCUGUUACUUAACCAAACAUGUUGGCCAGACAGCUGUGACCUACAUCAUGCCUGUAAAUGCCCGAUUAGAAGGGGAACGGCUUUUCAACAACGUCUAGACAUCUAUGAAUAUGCCAGGUAAAGAGGGACAGGGAGCUGUAUCUUC
rnacentral:lncRNA from 1 species